UAGUCUCUAAGCUAGUGGAGUUAGGCUAGAGUAGCUUUACUCAGGUUCGAGGUCCUCUUGGAGCUAAAGGUAUGGCGCGUGUAUCUUUAUUUCCUUGUUUGACUUUAUACUUAUCAAUAGAAUCAUCUUCUUUAUAUAGUGUUGUGCUUGGCUCAUAUGCUUCCUUGCUAGUCAUAUACCCUUGUCAUACUAGUAUACUAGGCUUAUAUGCUCUUGUGAUAGUCAUAUAACCUUGCCAUGGUUUAAUAUGUUUCAUAUGUAAUGCAUGUUUAGACUAGUCGAUCUAUGACACGGCAUCGGUCCAAUGAUCUUUAUGGUUGCUCUAGCCCUACGCUUGUCCAUCCGGCGGGUGGGAGUCCAAGGGGAGUUAGAGUAUUGUUCAUCAAUGCAAGUAUGGUGCUUGGGUUGUAUGAGUGGCAUAGGAUAUGAGUUUGCCCCACGGAUUGCUAGGGGUAGGCAGCAGGUGGUGACAACCUUGUCCGUCCAUCAUAAUCCCCACUUUCAGGUACACUGUACAAGUUCGUAAAUUAGCAGUAACUAUGCUGGCAGACCAGUAGGGUACUAUCUCGCUGUAGUGCUUGGAUGCAUAGAACUAAGUCCUAAAUGUGUGUAUGUUGUGUAUUUGGAGCUGAUUUCUAGGGGCAAAUCAUCCCCCAAUUCAAUCUUACAAAUGCAUUUUCAGGAUCGGGCUGGCUGCUACAGUACCUACCGAUGUUUUCAGUACUGGCUGUUCUUUUCGUCCACCCCUGAAAAAAAUGACCUCGCUUCUACAAAUCAUUUUUAUAGCAGUGUAUCCUUUGUUGAUGCAGCAACUAGGGCAAUUUUAUUCCUUUCUAGUAAAGGAAUGUAUAGUUUUUUCCCUCAUCAAGGGGCAAGAGCCUCCUCACGACUCCCUGUAUCCCAAUUUGUCAUGGACCUCCUUGUUGCCGGACACUCCCUCCAUCUCCUAUCUUUGGCAGUUAGCAACCACAUGACGCAAGGAAACACUAAUCUUAAUCCUCUUUCUUAUUGACAUUGAUGACCCUUUUGCUUCUCUACUUGAACGACAACUUUGCUGCUCAUUGCCCUAGCUGUUUUUCUGUGAAGGGCUAGCUACGUGUUCCACCACUGCUACAAGAGUGCCAAAAAGCCUUCUGCUCGUGUCUGCCGGGAUCAAAUGGGGUCCUGGCAAAACCCAAUAGCUAUAAUAUGGUCACUUGGCUGUUGAUAGUCUAUAAGCACACCUAGUCUAGGCAUCAUCCAAUGUCUUUAAACUUUUGUUUGAACAAGAAGGAAAAUUGAUUAAUGUAAUGAAUAAAAUCCAUCUUCUAUGAUUCCUGUUAGGCCCCGUUUGUUAGGAUGGAAUUGAAUCUCAUUCUAAGAAUCUCAUUCUAGCAAUUAGAUUCAAUAGGAAUUAAAUUCCAUAGAAUUAGAUUCAUUUCAAUUUUCUUGUUUGGAUGUACAAAGAAACUAAUUCCUAGAAUUAGAUUCCAAAUAUUGUUUGGUUGAUUAGAGAGGAAACUACUUCUUUGGAAAAUAUAGGAAAAUACUUAGCACUGUUUUCGAAACUAAUACACGAGUUAGAAACUACUUCUCGAGCUAGGAAUUAGAAACUAAUACUUAGCACUGUUUUCGAAGAAAACCACAUCAUACACGAGUUACAUACCUCCAGCUAGGAAAAUAUAGAUAAAAUACAAGAUAAUACUUUCAGAUGAGCUACAUAUUAUUACAAGUUCAAUAGAUAUUAUCCAUCACUUGAUAUAGAUGAACUAGUUUCUUCACUUGUUGAGCUGUUUUAGAAGCCACCUCUUCCUCAUCCUCUCUGGAAGCGCCAACAGAGACUCGUACUUGCGUGCGUCACCGGUCAGGAUAUCAAAUAGGUCCAACAAAGUGUCUUCAUCCAAUCCUUGUACUUCAUUCAGUGUGUCUAGAAUUUCUUUUGAUGUUGGUCCUUUAGGGGCUUCCUCCUUUAGUGCUUCAGCAAACUUGUCUAGUUUUUCAGCCAUCAUAGAGGUAAAAGAGUCGCUUGACCGUUGCCUCUUUAAACUUCCUGAAGUUGCCGAUGAUGUGGGCUCUUUGUUACUAAGAUCUUCCUUACUCAUGUCUUUUGAGCUCUCAGCUGCAGUCCUUGCCGCUUCACCGGUAGCAUGGUCUUUGCCAAACACCAAGCUGAUUGAGUCCCAGUACAAGACAGUCUUGUGCCUAUAACCAGAAGCUUCUUUGUUUUUCUACAAAAAAUAAAUGUUGUACUGGUUAGAAAACAAGUAUAUCACAAAAAUUGAAGGACCAGCAGUAAUGAUACUAUCAGGUAACAGAAACAACUUGUAUUAGGAGGCCGGCAUUACUAGUGAAGCAAAUAAAGAAUUAUGCUGAAUGCAAAUAGCAAUACUAACAAAAUUAUAGCAUUACUGAUGAGUUGUUCCUGGCAGAAACAACAUGCUCAAGAUCACAACUUCUAACCAAGCACCAUAUGCCUGAACAUUUCUAGCCAUAUGCCUGAACAAAUACCGGUAACAACAUGUAGGUGCAUUGCAAAGCUACCUGUAAUGGGGUAUCCAUUCAUAAAUAAAGCAAACACCACACAGCUACCUCUUAACAGUUGAAAAUAAAAACUGAGAGGAUGCCAGAUGCUUGUUGAGGGAUAAUAUCACUUCCAAGAUGAGCGUCAAAAGUAAAAACAGUUUUGGCCAACUUAUGACUAUGGCUGAAAUGUCCAUAUAUUCUUGCGUCGAUGGCCAGAGAAUAAGCAAGCAAUGACCACUGCAUUAAUUAGGUAAAGAAUUCUAGUAGUUUUAUUGUUCUUUUCACUUUCACGUUGAUUUUUCAGAAGCUGAUCAAAAUCAAGAUAGACUUGUAUCUCAGGGCCCAGCUGAAUUAUGAUUGUUGGAAAGAUAAGAUAUAAUCUGUUAUUUGGACCUCUAGUUCUUACAUAACAAUUGUUGGAGUUGAACAGUUUACACACUAUCAACAGAAGAAAACUUCCAGUCUAGCAGAGUGUGGACGCUGAUGGUUUUGAUCAAAGGAAAUGUUCAGUUAUCCACAGUUCCACACCAAUGUGACAUGCCACGAGUGUCAGGUCAAUAUCCUGAUAGGAUAUAAAACCCGUAAGCUAUCUAGCUGUCUCCAGAACCUUAACAUAAAACAGAGGCAGAUAAACCAAAAAGACGUGACAUGACCAUUCUUUUUCAACUGUUAACAUUCAUAAGAACAGUACUACGUAUAACAAUGUUAUAUAACAAUAAACAGUAAACUCCAUGACAUUAAAUAGUGGUACGAGAGAACACAACUUACAACUACAUAUAACAAUAAUAAAUACGAUUGAAACUUACCGCCACAUAUUCUUCCCAUACAGCAUCACUAUCAACAGAUAUUUUGUUUUUGUUCCAAUCCCAACCAAAUCCACUUGAUUCCAGCAUACCAUUGAUGAUAGUGUAGUGUUUGUCAAAGGUCUUGUUCCUCGCCAUGAUAUUGUCUUUUGAGAUAUCCACAUUACACUUUUCUCGGACAUUCUUGAUAGCAGCUGUAUAGACAUGAGACUUCCACCCAUUCUGGCAUCUGUCACCCUUGUUAUAGUACUCCACAAAUGUGUCAAGAAGAGCCUUGUCCAUGUCAUCAUUCCAAGAAAUGUAACCCCUGCCCGAGCCUGACUUCUUGCCCUUCUCCAUAUCCUACAGGAAAAAUGUUCACAAAAGGUUAUUAGUAAAAUAUCAGGAAGCAAAACCAAAUAUCAUAAGUUUAAGCAUGCAUUGAUGAUAGAAUUUAUCAUACAUUGACCACGUCUUGCUUGGUAAUCAGCAAACAUUUGGUUAGCUUUGGUAUCCCUAAAAUUGCUCCAUUCAUUUGUUGAUUGAACAUUGGUAAUCAUACCCACUUCACUUUGAACUUCAUGAGGUUCAAAAGAUAUUACUUGAUCAACUUGGUGUAUAAGUAAAUCAUCCAUAUCUCUCUGUCUAUCAAUUACAAAAUUGUGCAAUAUGCAGCAAGCAUUAAUGAUCCUAAUCUGCAAGAAUUUAGUAGAAAUGAGUUACAUGCUAGCUAAGGUCAUUCAGAGGUGAAUUUCAAGCUAGGUUACUACGGAAUACCUGAUUUUGUAAGUCAAAAUAUGAGUUGCUUCUUAGUAUAGCCCACCUCAUCUUUAAUAGCCCAAAUGUUCUCUCUAUCACAUUUCUAGCAGUUGAAUGGCGCAAAUUGAAUAGUUCUUUGGCAGUGGAUGGGUUAUGCCCUUGAGCAGCCCACUCAUUCAAGUGGUAGCGAGUGGAUCGAUAUGGAGCAAGAAAGCCCGGUCCAUUGGUGUAUCCCGCAUCUACUAGAUAGUAUUUCCCACUUGGAAUAACAAAUGCAUCGUCCCGAGACAUUGCAUCACGUAGCACACGUGAAUCUGAAGCUGAUCCUUCCCAUCCCGCUAAGACAUAAACAAAUUUCAUGUGACGAUCACAAACCCCCAAAACAUUGGUGGUAAUCUGUUGCUUCCUAUUCCUAUACCUCCCUUGGUCAGCCAAAGGCACAAAAACGUCAAUGUGUGUACCAUCUAAUGCUCCAAGGCAAUCUUCAAACCACUUCCACUUGGAAUCCUCAGGUUCUACAACUGAUGGAUCAGGAAGCUUGAUAAAUUCAUGGCAUAAUGAUAGAAUACCUCUAAGCACCUCAUUGAAGUGACGGCAGAUUGGCUCAAGUGACCAUCCAUAUGAGCUACGAAUCAUCCUCAUCUUAGUGCCAUGACCCACUACAAGCAAAAAGAUUGCUACCUUUUCUUCUACCGACACAUUCUUGUUAUCACACAUACCACAUCUCUCACGUAAGAUGGCACAUAGGUCAUAAAAUGAUCUCUUAGUUAGGCGCAAACUAUCAUAGCAAUAGACAUUUGAUCCUUGGUACAGAUUUCUUAGCAUUUGUUUGCGUGUAGCUACAUCUCUCUCAACCACUUCAUUUGGAUCAACAAUAUGUCUAGGUCUCUUACGCUGAUACCAGUGCACAAUCAUGCUCAUGACAGCAGAAACAUACACUGCUGUCACUAAUAAUAUUUAAUUACACUAAUCAUGCAUCAAUCAUAAGCUUUUCUGAAGCACUACUAGUGUUUUUCCUUAGUCAGUUGUCCUAUGUCCUUGUCAGAGAUCGAACAUCCUGCAGCUUCAAACUAUUU
rnacentral:lncRNA from 1 species